AGCAUCGGAAGAGUCGUGGGGUGGGUGAUUUCUUUAGAUGAAAAUCAUUUCAGUACUGCUGACUGAAAUAAGAGUUCAUUUCACCCACCUUGAGCUCGUGUUUCUGUUUCUCCUCAGGUUUUGCCACCGUCAGCAAUGUCGCGCACCGAGUGAGGCUGCACGAGCCAGAGAAGCACUUUCUUGGGCAUUCGUCUUGCCCUCUGUCUAAGAAUCCCAUGCAACAGGCUAUCGGGGAGCCUCUUCUCCCCCUGAGCCUUCUCCAGCGAUGUUCCCCUUUGCUUGAAUCCCAGCCAGCUUGAAUCCCGGCACUACUCUCCACCCCACCUCCCUGAGUCAAUGAUGUUGAAGGUUUGUGUCUUUCUCCUACUUCACUAGUGAAUAACAUGUACGUAAGUUGAUACUGUA